GACGAACGCUGGCGGCGUGCUCAACACAUGCAAGUCGAGCGGAAAGGCCACUUCGGUGGUACUCGAGCGGCGAACGGGUGAGUAACACGUGAGUAAUCUGCCCCUGGCUUUGGGAUAGCCACCGGAAACGGUGAUUAAUACCGGAUACGAUCACUUCUCGCAUGGGAUGGUGGUGGAAAGUUUUUUCGGCCAGGGAUGUGCUCGCGGCCUAUCAGCUUGAUGGUGAGGUAAUGGCUCACCAUGGCUUCGACGGGUAGCCGGCCUGAGCGGGUGACCGGGAACACUGGGACUGCGACACGGCACGGACUGCUACGGGAGGCAGCAGUGGGGAAUAUUGGACAAUGGGCGGAAGCCUGAUCCAGCAACGCCGCGUGAGGGAUGACGGCCUUCGGGUUGUAAACCUCUUUCAGCAGGGACGAAGCGCAAGUGACGGUACCUGCAGAAGUAGCACCGGCCAACUACGUGCCAGCAGCCGCCGCGG
rnacentral:rRNA from 1 species